CCUACGGGAGGCAGCAGUGAGGAAUAUUGGUCAAUGGGCGCGAGCCUGAACCAGCCAAGUAGCGUGAAGGAUGACUGCCCUACGGGUUGUAAACUUCUUUUAUAAAGGAAUAAAGUGAGACACGUGUGCCUUUUUGUAUUUACUUUAUGUAUAAGGAUCGGCUAACUCCGUGCCAGCAGACGCGGUACUCCGGAGGAUCCGGGCUUUAUCCGGAUUUAUUGGGUUUAACGGGAGCGUCGAAGGGUUGUUAAGUCAGUUGUGAAAGUUUGCGGCUAAACCGUAAAAUUGCAAUUGAUACUGGCAGUCUUGAGUACAGUUGAGGUAGGCGGAAUUCGUGGUGUAGCGGUGAAAUGCUUAGAGAUCACGAAGAACUCCGAUUGCGAAGGCAGCUUACUAAACUGCCACUGACAUUGAUGCGCGAAAGUGUGGGUAUCAAACAGGAUUAGAUACCCCAGUAGUC
rnacentral:rRNA from 1 species